rnacentral:lncRNA from 1 species
AAGAUGGAAACCACCAAAGGAUGUGGUGCAGUGGAUGAGGCUGCUCCGCCUUUAACCAGAGGUCUCGGUUUCGAGCCAUGGGAAUGGAUAAAUCCUUGGUAAGGAGCGCUUCCCCCAAAUGGGCCCUACGCGACGCGAAUCCGGAUUAGUCGGAUUCCAAUGCGGGUACCGAACACCGGAUGAGAAAGCAAAAAAAAAAGAUGGAGAUUCACUAACAAGAGUAAUGUGUUAAGCGAUUUGUUCUAUUUCUCCUAUUUAACUACUUACAGGUUUUGAUCUAGUUGAAUGACUGUUUGGUUUAUAAAGUGAUUUCUUUUCCAUGUCAAGAUACUUUAGUUGUUCU